AAACUAGGAUUAGAUACCCUAUUAUUAAAAAAUUAAAUAUAUAAAACUAAAAUAGUAAAUAAUUUAUUGAAACUUAAAUAAAUUGGCGGUAUUUUAGUUCAUUCAGAGGAAUCUGUUUAUUAAUUGAUAAUCCACGAAUAAAUUUACUUAAUUUAUUAUUUUGUAUAUCGUUGUUAAAAAAAUAUUUUUUAAUGAAAAUAAUAUUUUAAAAUUUUAAAAAGAGAUAAAAUCAGAUCAAGAUGCAGAUUAUAAUUAAGAAUAUAAUGGAUUACAAUAAAUUUAUUUAUAUGGUUAUUAAAUUGAAAUAUUUAAUUGAAAGUGGAUUUGAAUGUAAUUUUAUUUAAAUUAAUAAAAUGAUUAAUAAUUAAAAUAUGUACAUAUUGCCCGUCGCUUUCAUAUAUAAAUUGAAAUAAGUCGUAACAAAGUA
rnacentral:rRNA from 1 species